rnacentral:lncRNA from 1 species
GGGGCGAAGAACGAAGUGACUUUAUUAUGGAAUCUUUUAGUUAAUUAAGAAUAAAAGAUAGCAACAAAUUCAAUGGUCUUAUUGAUGGAUAACACGACAAGUAGAUUAAGUUUUGCUUUAAUUUAAAUGAACACUAAUUAUUUGAUUAGAAAGAAGAACAUUGCUUAAUACUUUGUCACUCACUCGUGGGUCUGUCUCAUACCCCA